GUUCAGAUUGCAGGCUGCAACCCGCCUGCAUGAAGUCGGAAUUGCUAGUAAUCGCGGAUCAGCAUGCCGCGGUGAAUACGUUCCCGGGCCUUGUACACACCGCCCGUCACACCAUGGGAGUCGGUAACACCCGAAGCCAGUAGCCUAACCGCAAGGGGGGCGCUGUCGAAGGUGGGAUUGAUGACUGGGGUGAAGUCGUAACAAGGUAGCCGUAUCGGAAGGUGCGGCUGGAUCACCUCCUUUCUAAGGAG
rnacentral:rRNA from 1 species